GACAGAGGGUGCAAACGUUGUUCGGAAUUACUGGGCGUAAAGCGCGUGUAGGCUGCUUCGAAAGUCGGGUGUGAAAGCCCUGGGCUCAACCUAGGAAGUGCAUUCGAAACUACUGAGCUUGAAUACUGGAGAGGAUCGCGGAAUUCCCGGUGUAGAGGUGAAAUUCGUAGAUAUCGGGAGGAACACCAGUGGCGAAGGCGGCGAUCUGGACAGAUAUUGACGCUGAGGUGCGAAAGCGUGGGGAGCAAACAGG
rnacentral:rRNA from 1 species